rnacentral:rRNA from 1 species
UACGUAGGGUGCGAGCGUUGUCCGGAAUUAUUGGGCGUAAAGGGCUCGUAGGCGGUCUGUUGCGUCGGGAGUGAAAACUCAGGGCUUAACCCUGAGCCUGCUUCCGAUACGGGCAGACUAGAGGUAUGCAGGGGAGAACGGAAUUCCUGGUGUAGCGGUGAAAUGCGCAGAUAUCGGGAAGAACACCCGUGGCGAAGGCGGCUCUCUGGAACGCAACUGACGCUGAGACGCGAAAGCGUGGGGAGCAAACAGG